rnacentral:rRNA from 1 species
UACGUAGGUGGUCUUUCAAGUCGGUGGUUAAAGGCUACGGCUCAACCGUAUUAAGCCGCCGAAACUGGAAGACUUGAGUGCAGGAGAGGAAGGUGGAAUUCUCAGUGUAGCGGUGAAAUGCGUAGAUAUUGGGAAGAACACCAGUAGCGAAGGCGGCUUUCUGGACUGCAACUGACACUGAGGCACGAAAGCGUGGGUAGCAAACA